rnacentral:ribozyme from 11 species
GCGAAAGCCACCAUGCAUGUACACACGAAAAGAAAGAGACGGCACGGAAGACGGGAAGCAGGAAGAAAAUGGGUUGCCAAAAAAUGAGUUUUAAAGGUACACACGCAUGCAUACCUGCACGCUCGCUCCGUUCCUUUUCUUUUCCUUUCUUUCUUU